rnacentral:rRNA from 1 species
AAGGUGCGCUCAGACCGGUCGGAAAUCGGUCGUAGAGUAUAAAGGCAAAAGCGCGCUUGACUGCGAGACAGACACGUCGAGCAGGUACGAAAGUAGGUCUUAGUGAUCCGGUGGUUCUGUAUGGAAGGGCCAUCGCUCAACGGAUAAAAGGUACUCCGGGGAUAACAGGCUGAUACCGCCCAAGAGUUCAUAUCGACGGCGGUGUUUGGCACCUCGAUGUCGGCUCAUCACAUCCUGGGGCUGAAGCCGGUCCCAAGGGUAUGGCUGUUCGCCAUUUAAAGUGGUACGCGAGCUGGGUUUAGAACGUCGUGAGACAGUUCGGUCCCUAUCUGCCGUGGACGUUUGAGAUUUGAGAGGGGCUGCUCCUAGUACGAGAGGACCGGAGUGGACGAACCUCUGGUGUUCCGGUUGUCACGCCAGUGGCAUUGCCGGGUAGCUAUGUUCGGAAAAGAUAACCGCUGAAAGCAUCUAAGCGGGAAACUUGCCUCAAGAUGAGAUCUCACUGGAACCUUGAGUUCCCU